GUUUGAUUCUGGCUCAGGAUGAACGCUGGCGGCAUGCCUAAUACAUGCAAGUCGAACGGAGUGAAGCCUUCGGGUUUCAUUCAGUGGCGAACGGGUGAGUAAUACGCAGGGAACCUGGCCAUGGCAGGGGGAUACACUCUGGAAACGGAGCAUAAGACCCCAUAGGCAGUAAGGCGGCAUCGCCUUACUGUUAAAGAAAGCUGAAAGGCUUUGGCGAUGGAUGGACCUGCGGUGCAUUAGCUUGUUGGUGAGGCAACGGCUUACCAAGGCGAUGAUGCAUAGCCGGCCUGAGAGGGCGGACGGCCACACUGGGACUGAGACACGGCCCAGACUCCUGCGGGAGGCAGCAGUAGGGAAUUUUCGUCAAUGGGCGCAAGCCCGAACGAGCAAUGCCGCGUGAGUGAGGAAGGUCUUCGGACUGUAAAGCUCUGUUGCCGGGGAAAAAGGGGAAAUGCAGGAAAUGGCAUUUCAUGGAUGGUACCCGGCCAGAAAGCCACGGCUAACUACGUGCCAGCAGCCGCGGUAAUACGUAGGUGGCGAGCGUUAUCCGGAAUGAUUGGGCGUAAAGGGUGCGCAGGCGGUCUGUUAAGUCUGAAGGCAAAGGGAUGAGCUCAACUCAUUUAUGAUUCAGAAACUGGCAGACUUGAGGACAGGAGAGGGCGGUGGAACUCCAUGUGUAGCGGUAAAAUGCGCAGAGAUAUGGAAGAACACCAGUGGCGAAGGCGGCCGCCUGGCCUGUGACUGACGCUGAGGCACGAAAGCGUGGGGAGCAAAUAGGAUUAGAUACCCUAGUAGUCCACGCCGUAAACGAUGAGGAGCAGGUGUUGGGAGUGAAAUCUCAGUGCCGAAGCCAACGCAGUGACUCCUCCGCCUGGGGAGUAUGCACGCAAGUGUGAAACUCAAAGGAAUUGACGGGGGCCCGCACAAGCGGUGGAGUAUGUGGUUUAAUUCGAAGCAACGCGAAGAACCUUACCAGGUUUUGACAUCGGAUGCGAAGGCGCAGAGAUGCGCUGGAGGCUAUCAUCCAGACAGGUGGUGCAUGGUUGUCGUCAGCUCGUGUCGUGAGAUGUUCAGUUAAGUCUGGCAACGAGCGCAACCCCCGUGGUAUGUUACUAACGCAUUUGGGCGAGGACUCAUAUCAGACUGCCGGUGACAAACCGGAGGAAGGCGGGGAUGACGUCAAAUCAUCAUGCCCCUUAUGACCUGGGCUACACACGUACUACAAUGGCGUCUACAGAGGGAAGCGACCCUGAGAAGGGAAGCGAAACCGGAAAAGGGCGUCCCAGUUCGGAUUGAAGUCUGCAACCCGACUUCAUGAAGAUGGAAUCGCUAGUAAUCGCGGAUCAGCAUGCCGCGGUGAAUACGUUCCCGGGCCUUGUACACACCGCCCGUCAAACCAUGGAAGCCGGCAACGCCCGAAGCCGGUGGCAUAACCUUUUAGGAGUGAGCCGUCGAAGGCGGGGCCGAUGACUGGGGUUAAGUCGUAACAAGGUACCC
rnacentral:rRNA from 1 species